CCUACGGUGUGCAGCAGUGGGGAAUAUUGCACAAUGGGGGAAACCCUGAUGCAGCGACGCCGCGUGAGUGAAGAAGUAUUUCGGUAUGGAAAGCUCUAUCAGCAGGGAAGAAGAAAGACGGUACCUGACUCAGAAGCCCCGGCUAACUACGUGCCAGCAGCCGUGGUAAUAAGUAGGGGGCAAGCGUUAUCCGGAUUUACUGGGUGUAAAGGGAGCGUAGACGGCUGUGCAAGUCUGAAGUGAAAGCCCAGGGGUCAACCCUUGGACUGCUGUGGAAACUGUGGAGCUAGAGUGCUGGAGAGGUAAGUGGAAUGCCUGGUGUAGCGGUGAAAUGCGUAGAUAUUAGGAAGAACACCAGUGGCGAAGGCAGCUUACUAAACUGUGACUGACAUUGAUGCUCGAAAGUGUGGGUAUCAAACAGGAUUAGAUACCCUUGUAGUC
rnacentral:rRNA from 1 species